rnacentral:rRNA from 1 species
UCUCCUACGGGGGGGCAGCAGUAGGGAACCUUCCACAAUGGACGAAAGUCUGAUGGAGCAACGCCGCGUGAGUGAAGAAGGGUUUCGGCUCGUAAAGCUCUGUUGGUAGUGAAGAAAGAGAGAGGUAGUAACUGGCCUUUAUUUGACGGUAAUUACUUAGAAAGUCACGGCUAACUACGUGCCAGCAGCCGCGGUAAUACGUAGGUGGCAAGCGUUGUCCGGAUUUAUUGGGCGUAAAGCGCGUGCAGGCGGGUCAAUAAGUCUUAG